CGGCCGGGCAGGGCGGGUCUGUUCGGCUCCGUGUGGCGCUGCGCCUCGCGCUCCUGCUCGGUGGGGGUGGGAUCAAUGUGCGCUCCCUUGCUGGCCAGC
rnacentral:tRNA from 1 species